CCAGGUUCUUCCCUGCUGCCUUUCUCCUCUGACCCCCGACCACCCAGUCUAAGUUUGAGAGCAGGAGCCUCCCCGGCCCCCACACCUGGGCAGCAGGGCCCAGCCAGACAUCUCAUAAUCCUGGCCCACCUCUCUGGUAUCUCCCCCAGGAGGACACCUGUCAGGAUUUUGCCAUCUCCUGCACAGCCUGAGGGCAGCUAACAGGCCUCUUGGCGAGGGUUAGCUGUGUGUGCGGGGGCUUAAGGACCUCCUGAGGACCGCCGCUCUCUGCCUGUCCAGGAAGGGCCUGGGGGGAGCCAGGCACCCAACACCCCCACCUGCCUAACCCGUGGCCCACCUGCCACCGUCUGUGCCUACAGGCUAUGUCCCCAAGCCUGCCCCAUGUGUGCUCUCUAGGGCCCUUCCCCCCCCCAUAGGGACAGGGGCUGACCUCUGCCCCACGCCUGCUCAUGCCCACCAGAGUAUAGAAAGCCAUACCCGCUGUCACAGGGUGGGUCACAGAUGCCGACACGCCCGCCCACGCCUGUCCCCCUGCCGAGACUGUAAGGUGUGGAGACUGGGAAUCUUGCCUACAGCCCCCCGCGCCCGUCAGGCAGAACCCCAGUCAAGCUGAGCAGGUUUCUUCAGGGGCUGUCUGGCUGGGUGGCCAUGACGAUGCCGAUGACGCUGCUGAACAAGUUUGGUGACUGUUCUGAGUGCAGCUGGCCUGACACCGUUCCCACGGCCCCUCCGCCCCCACCAUGAGAGUAGGCGGAUGUGGGGAGGGUGCUGGCACCCUCUGCUCGGCGCUGAGGAACUGAGCUAGCGCCGACUGACAGCCUGUUCUUCCGAGGAAUAACCGGGCAAGCCCAGAAGUUUCGCUGAGCCCCCUGGCUGGGGGCUGCUUGUCUGCUAUCCUGUACCUUUAUUUUUAAGCAAAAUAAAGAUUUCCUUCUUCUUGCCAUAUCUUUA